GACGAACGCUGGCGGCGUGCCUAACACAUGCAAGUCGAGCGGGGUUGAAGCGAGGGGUAACUCGGACUUCUACCUAGCGGCGGACGGGUGAGUAACGCGUGGGCAACCUGCCUCAAGGUUUGGGAUAACAGCUCGAAAGGGCUGCUAAUACCGGAUAUGCCUGUGGCCUCGCAUGGGGCUAUGAGCAAAGGGGAAACCCGCCUUGAGAUGGGCCCGCGUCCCAUCAGCUAGUUGGUGAGGUGAAGGCUCACCAAGGCGACGACGGGUAGCCGGCCUGAGAGGGUGACCGGCCACACUGGGACUGAGACACGGCCCAGACUCCUACGGGGGGCAGCAGUGGGGGAUCUUGCACAAUGGGCGAAAGCCUGAUGCAGCGACGCCGCGUGAGCGAAGAAGGCCUUCGGUUGUAAGCUCUGUCUGGAGGGACGAACGAAAUAGACGGUACCUCCGGAGGAAGCCACGGCUAACUACGUGCCAGCAGCCGCGGUAUACGUAGCGUG
rnacentral:rRNA from 1 species